GACGAACGCUGGCGGCGUGCUUAACACAUGCAAGUCGAACGGAAACGCCCUGCCUUUGUGGGCUGCUCGAGUUGCCAACGGGUAAGUAACACGUGAGUUCCCUGUCCUUGACUUUGGGAUAACUUCAGGCAACUUGGGCUAUUACCGGAUAGGAGUUACUGCUGCAUGGUGGGGGCUGGAUAGUUUCGGCGGUUGGUGAUGGACUAGCGGCUUAUCAGCUUGUUGGUGGGGUAGUGUCUUACCAAGGCUUUGACGGGUAGCAGGUCUGCGUGGGUGACCGGCCACGUUGGGAUGGGGAUGCGGCCCAGACUAGUACGGGAGGCAGGAGUGGGGUAUAGUGCACAAUGGGCUGAAGCCUGAUGCAGCAAUGCCGUGUGCGGGGUGACGGGCUUCGGUUUGUGAAGCGCUUUCGUCUGUGCCGAGGCGUGAGUGACGGUAAUGGGUAAAGAAGCACCGGCUAACUACGUG
rnacentral:rRNA from 1 species